GCCUGGGUGGCUCAGUUGGUUAAGCAUCUGACUUCUGCUCAGGUCAUGAUUUCAUGGUCUGUGAGUUCGAGCCCCACGUCAGGCU
rfam:Felis catus isolate Cinnamon breed Abyssinian chromosome B3, whole genome shotgun sequence.